rnacentral:rRNA from 1 species
GGCUGCAACUCGCCUACACGAAGCUGGAAUCGCUAGUAAUCGCGGAUCAGCACGCCGCGGUGAAUACGUUCCCGGGCCUUGUACACACCGCCCGUCGCACCAUGAGAGUCUGUAACACCCAAAGCCGGUGGGAUAACCUUUAUAGGAGUCAGCCGUCUAAGGUAGGACAGAUGAUUAGGGUGAAGUCGUAACAAGGUACC